GAUAAAAAGAGACCGAAUACGAUUCCUGUAUUCGGUCCAGGGAAAUGGCUCUUGGGAUAGAGCCGUGCGCUAAAAGUUGGCAUUAAUGCAGGCUUAGUCGCCAUGCCUUAUAAGAAUAGUUGACCGUGCCAGGUUUUCCAGU
rnacentral:sRNA from 1 species